GACGUAGGGCGCAAGCGUUGUUCGGAAUUACUGGGCGUAAAGCGCGCGUAGGCGGCUUUGUAAGUUAGAGGUGAAAGCCCGGAGCUCAACUCCGGAACUGCCUUUAAGACUGCAUCGCUAGAACGUCGGAGAGGUAAGUGGAAUUCCGAGUGUAGAGGUGAAAUUCGUAGAUAUUCGGAAGAACACCAGUGGCGAAGGCGACUUACUGGACGACUGUUGACGCUGAGGUGCGAAAGCGUGGGGAGCAAACAGG
rnacentral:rRNA from 1 species